rnacentral:rRNA from 1 species
GGUUCUCUCCGAAACAGCUUUUGGGCUGGCGUUGCCAUAUCGCGUGCGUGGGGGUAGAGCACUGGAAGGGACCAACAGGGAGAAAUCUCGUGGUUCCUAUCAAACUCCGAAUACCAUGCACUCGGGCAGCAGUUAGAAGGUGGGGGCGAAGCUCCAUCGAUCGAGAGGGGAAGAGCCCAGAUCGCCAAUUAAGGCCCCAAAAUCGACGCUCAGUACAUCACAAGGAAGUGAGGACUCAUAGACAGUGAGGAUGUUGGCUUAGAAGCAGCCACCAUUCAAAGAAAGCGUAACAGCUCACUCAUCGAGAGUCCUUGCGCCGAAGAUGAUCGGGGUUAAGCGUCGUGCCGAAAUUGCGGGUUUAAUCCGUAUUUAUAUAGAUUAAGCGGUAGGAGAGCGUUCUGUUCGCGAUGAAGCUUAAGGGGUAACCCAUGGUGGAGCGUACAGAAGUGAGAAUGCCGGUACAAGUAACCACAAUGCGGGUGAGAACCCCGCACAUCGAAAGACCAAGGUUUCCUCAGCUAUGGUGAUCAACUGAGGGUUAGUCGGGCCUAAGGGGAUGGCGAGAGCCGCACCCGAUGGACACACGGUUAAUAUUCCGUGACCGCUUAUAAAGGCAAUGGAGUGACGGACUGCUGUAUGUGCUGCCGGUAAUUGGAUUCCGGUUGGGGGAGCGAGGGCGCGCGUUAGGGAAAUCCGGCGCGCAUUAUCCCGAGUUCUCACACAAUUUUCUUCUACGGAGGGAGAGAGAGUGCAAAGCGCGGUUUCAAGAAAACCUUCUACGCAUCAACUUUAUAAGCGACCGUACCGCACACCGACACAGGUGGUCAGGUCGAGAAGACCAAGAUGAACGAGUAAGAUGUCCUCAAGGAACUCGGCAAAAAAGCGGCCGUAAGUUAGCGAUAAGGCCUGCCCCUCACUCGCAAGGGUGAGGGGCCGCAGUUAAAGUUUUCCUGGCAACUGUUUACCAAAAACACAGCUCCCUGCAAACUCGUAAGAGGAAGUAUAGGGGGUGACACCUGACCAAUGCCGGAAGGUCAACCACGGUUGGUAUGCUGCUUCGGUAGUAUGCUGGACUAUGUAAGCCCCGGUGAAUGUCGGCGAUAACUAUAAUCGUCCUAAGGUAGCGCAAUUCCUUGUCGGGUAAGGAAGAUGCCCGUUCCGAGAGCGAUCUCGGAAGUAAAAUCUGCUAUAACGGUGAAAUCCUCGCUGGAGCGUCAUGAAGGGUGACGCGAUGAAGGACGGACAAUACCGUGGGAAGUCGUCCCGAGAGUAAUCGAGGGAUUGACCCCGUAUCGACUUCGGUCACCAACAUCCAUUGGCGACCGGGAUGGUGCUAUCAUAUAAUCAUAUGACAACGCGCCAUAAUACGCAGACGCUGAAGAUGAAACAACGAGACAUAAACGAAUACAUUUCCGGUUUUUCCGACGGAGAAGGAUGCUUUUCAGUAUCAUUCUCCAAGCGAGAUAAGUUCUUGAUUGGAUGGGAGACAAAACCAAGCUUUUGCACGGCGCAAAACCAUGACCGAGCUGAAGUUUUGUAUCUCAUGCAGAAGAAAUUCAAAUGCGGAUUCAUGAGAAGAGACAUGAAAGACAAGACCCUCAAAUACGAGGUUCGAAGUCUGAACGAUCUUGUCACAAAAGUGAUUCCGCAUUUCGAAAAUUAUCCGCUCAUGUCAGGGAAAGCAAAAGAUUUCAAAUUGUUCAAGCGCGUAUGCAUUCUUAUGGAGAAGAGGAGGCACACGACGCUCGGCGGUUUGAAAGAAAUCACUCGACUCGCAUUUCAAAUGAAUCCGAGCGGGAUGAGGAAAUAUACGCGUGAUGAAAUUCUCGCUGUCGCUCGUCAUCAGAUGAAGAUAUAGUCAGUGCCCGUAGAAAUACGGGAAUACACGAAGUUCCGACGUGCACGAAUGGUGUAAUGACUGGGAAACUGUCUCGAGGACUCGCUCGGUGAAAAUGCACUUCCGGUGAAGAUGCCGGAUACCUGUAGUUAGACGAAAAGACCCCAGGAGCUUUACUACAGCUUCGUAUUGGCCCUACGGGAUUCAUGCGUAGCAUAGGUGGCAGGAUUUGAAGCAUCGGUUUCGGCUGGUGUGGAUCCGACAGUGAAAUACCACUCUUGAAUUUUGUAGUGCCUAACCCCGUUGGGAUCCAACGGGGAACAGUGCGUGGCGGGUAGUUUUGGUGGGGCGCUAUCCUCCUAAAAAGUAACGGAGGAGUCUAUUAAGGUUCUCUAGGCGCGAAUGGAAACCGUGCCGAUAGUGUAAUGGCAUAAGAGAGCUUAACUGCGAGGGGUACAUCCCAAGCAGAUGCGAAAGCAGAGCAUAGUGAACCGAUGGUACGCCUUAGAUGCGGCCAGAGAUUAACGGAUAUAAGUUACCCUGGGGAUAACAGGCUAGUUCCGCCCAAGCGUCCAUAGCGACGGCGGAGUUCGGCACCUUAACGAAUCGGGGUGCCAUGCGAGUAAUCGCAUGAGCUUGGCUGAUAGUUUGUCUGGCUCGACCAGCUAUUAGUGUGCAAAAUAUGGCUUAUAACGGUGAAAUCCAUAGUAUAAUUUGUAUUAUGGACAAUGCCGUGGGAAGUCUGACUCAAAUACAGCGAUCAAUAAUCAUUGGAAUGCUUCUAGGAGACGGAUACAUCCGAAUUGUUCCUGGUAGAAAAGACGCAUUUCUUGAAAUCAAUCAUGCGUUCUCUCAAAAAGAGUAUGUAGAUUGGAAAUACGAAAUGCUCAAAUCUAUAUGUACAAGCGGUCCAGUUUCUCGAAAGGGAAACGGAACGCGGGUUGCUUAUCGAUUUACUACUCGGCAACAUCCGGAAUUAACCGAAUUUCAAAUGUUGUUCUAUAAGAAUGGUGUGAAGCAAGUGCCACGAAAUGUGGCGCUCGACCCAAUGAUGCUGGCAGUAUGGUUUAUGGACGAUGGGAGUAAGUGUAGGGCGAGUGAUGUGUAUCUUAAUAUACAACAAUUUUCCCGCGAGGAUCAGGAAUACUGUCUCACGCUACUCUCAUCACUUGGGAUUAAUGCAUCUCUCAAUCGAGAUAAAGAAUAUUGGAGAAUACGAAUUAAGAAAAAUUCGCUCCCCAUAUUCUUUUCGAUGAUACGAGAACAUAUCAUUCCUUCCAUGUCAUACAAAUUGAAUCAUGACCCCGUAGAGACUUGUUCUUAACUGAACGGAGUCGCCGAAAUGGCGGCUAAUACGCCAUCUCCUUUCUUUUGUUCGAAAGGAUGAAGAUAUAGUCCGAUCCUCUCAGUAAUGAGAGAGUGAAAUGUCGAUAGCGAUGUCGGCUCACCUUAGCGCGGGGCUGGAGAAGGUCCCAAGCGUUUGGCUGUUCGCCAAUUAAAAAGGUACGCGAGCUGGGUUCAAACCGUGAGGAAAUUAAUCUCGUUGAUUGAUUUUCUCACCCGUUUGAAUCCCUUUGAGUUUCUGUUAUCAGAACCAAAUAAAGUGAAUGUUUUUUCGUCUAAAACAAAUAAAAAAAGAUAGAACCAACAAUGACACGGCGGUCAUACCUAGGGAUAGGUAUGAACAAACUGACUCAUAUCGGUAGAAUCCGAAUUCCGAAAGGAAAGGACAAUACCGAGGGAAUCCUGAGAGCAAUCGAAGGAGCCCUUAGAGACUGAAUGUUAGUCACGAAGAACUCGUGAAGUUACAGUCCGAUCCUCCGAGUAAUCGGAGUAAACGAAAUGCGUGAGACAGGUUGGUCUCCUAUCUACUACAGGCGUUGAUUCUUGAGGAGGGUUGUCCCUAGUACGAGAGGACCGGGAUGAACUGACCUCUGGUCUACCAGUUGUUCUGCCAAGAGCAUCGCUGGGUAGCUAUGUCGGGUUGCGAUAACCGCUGAAAGCAUAUAAGCGGGAAGCGUGCUCCAAGAUUAGGAAUCGUUAUGAGACACCUCGAAGAUGACGAGGUUGAUAGGCUUUAGGUGGAAGCGCCGUGAGGCGUGGAGCCGAGAAGUACUAAUAUGUCCAG